GCGUUUCAAAUAGCCAAUUUACCUUUCUCCCUAAACGUUUCUUGCUCUGCUGUCAGUAUCACUGGUCUUGGGGUUUAGAUUUUGUCAAUAUCAAAAUUUGGGUACUUACCAGCAAACGAGUUGUUGAUCUAUUUACUUAGUCAAGUUCAUUUCUGCUAUGUUCUUCAGUCAAGCUUUAACUUCUAGCCUUGAUUAAAUGGCAAUGAUAUUCUCCAAAACCUACUGAUGUUAGAAAUCCUGCUACCCAACAGGAUGGUCUGCCAAGUGAUGUGAGCACUACUCAGUGUGUGGCAGACGUUCAUUAGGAUUGCAAACAAGAUUUGAGAUGUAGGUGUUGGUCAAAUUUUGGAAAAUUAUGGGUCUGCAGGUACAAAAUUACAUGUAGGAAAUUUUACGGUUUUCUGUGAUUAAAGAUUCAAGCAUGAAUGUGAAUAUAGUUCCAAGGUUUUUUUGCUAACAUGUUUUCUUAUAUUUACUUCUCUUUGUAUGAUAUUGGAAUUUAUAUGCUUACUUAACUGCUCAAAGAUAUCUGUUUUGUUUGUCGAUUGGAAGUUACCACAUUAAGCUUGAGUCCAUGUGAAUUGACACACUAUUUGGAACAAAAUAAAACUUAGUACUGUACUACAGUUUGGUGGUUAAAUUACUCCUUACCUCGACAUUCUAAUAAUCUGUAAUAAGGAUAGUUCGCAUUGGUCAUGCAAGAUCACUUGCGGGAAAUUGAUGGCUUGUUGUUGUUGUGCUUCACAAUUUCUGUUGUUUCUAUUUAUUUUACACUUUUUUAUUUACUGCAAUUUGCAAAACAGAAGUACUAGCAUAACUGGAAUUUCUGUUUGUGUUUUUUACAGAGGGAACAUAGUCUGAUGGGACAGCUCCUAAAUCAAUGUCACAUAAGGCAACAACAUAUUUGGAGGAGUUGAAGGAGUUGAGAUGAGUUGAUCACAUCCUCAUGUGUCUUUGCAUGUUGCAACAGGGGCGGUGUACUUUUUUUAGAUAGAAGAACUUAUGGGGCACAUCAGAUGUACUGACCACUCCUUAGUCCCAAGAACAGGAGUAACAAUUUUCUCAAGUUCUGUUGUUGUAUUGUACUAGAAGUAUGUUCAUCAAACUGCCUUAUCAACCAUUU
rnacentral:lncRNA from 1 species